CACGUAGGGCGCAAGCGUUGUCCGGAAUUAUUGGGCGUAAAGAGCUCGUAGGCGGUCUGUUGCGUCCGCUGUGAAAACUCGGGGCUUAACCCCGAGCCUGCAGUGGAUACGGGCAGACUAGAGUCCGGAAGAGGAGAGUGGAAUUCCUGGUGUAGCGGUGAAAUGCGCAGAUAUCAGGAAGAACACCCGUGGCUAAGGCGGCUCUCUAGUACGGUACUGACGCUGAGACGCGAAAGCGUGGGGAGCGAACAGG
rnacentral:rRNA from 1 species